GGCAAACGGGUGCGCAACACGUACAGAACCUUCCUUUAAGCGGGGGAUAGCCCAUAGAAAUGUGGAUUAAUACCCCAUGGUAUAAUUGUCUGGCAUCAGAUGGUUAUUAAAGAUUUAUCACUUAGAGAUGGCUGUGCGUCUGAUUAGGUAGUUGGUUGGGGUAAUGGCCCACCAAGCCUUCGAUCAGUAACUGGUGUGAGAGCACGACCAGUCACACGGGCACUGAGACACGGGCCCGACUCCUACGGGAGGCAGCAGUAAGGAAUAUUGGUCAAUGGAGGCAACUCUGAACCAGCCAUGCCGCGUGAAGGAUGAAGGUCCUCUGGAUUGUAAACUUCUUUUAUGUGGGAAGAAAUGCAUUCUUUAUAGAGUGUUUGACGGUACCAUAGGAAUAAGCACCGGCUAACUCCGUGCCAGCCGCC
rnacentral:rRNA from 1 species